rnacentral:rRNA from 1 species
AGUAACACGUGGGUAACCUGCCCAUCAGAAGGGGAUAACACUUGGAAACAGGUGCUAAUACCGUAUAACAAUCGAAACCGCAUGGUUUCGGUUUGAAAGGCGCUUUUGCGUCACUGAUGGAUGGACCGCGGUGCAUUAGCUAGUUGGUGAGGUAACGGCUCACCAAGGCAACGAUGCAUAGCCGACCUGAGAGGGUGAUCGGCCACAUUGGGACUGAGACACGGCCCAA